rnacentral:rRNA from 1 species
GGUUGAUCCUGCCAGUAGUCAUAUGCUUGUCCCAAAGAUUAAGCCAUGCAUGUCCAAGUAUAUACCUUUAUACGGUGAAACUGCGAAUGGCUCAUUAUAUCAGUUAUAAUUUACUUGAUGGUUUCUUUACUACUUGGAUAACCGUGGUAAUUCUAGAGCUAAUACAUGCAAAGGACCCGACUUUUGUGGAAGGGUCGUAUUUAUUAGAUAAAAACCAAUGCCAGCAAUGGCCCUUGGCGAGUCAUGAUAACUGCGCGGAUCGUAUGGCCUUGCGCCGACGACGCUUCAUUCAA